AGCGGAACGACCAAUCAGAGCGGCGGGAGGAGGGAGAGACCAUCCGACGGGAGACAGCGGGGCGGUUCGGAGUCGGCUCCACAGGCUGCGGCCGGGCUUCCUACCCCCCGGGGUCCCCUCUGCUAGGAGGGGCCGGUGGUACGAUCCGACAGGCUGCAUAAGAACCCCUCCUACCCGCCUCCCCCCCACACCCGCCCCUCUCCUGUCAGUGCUAGGGUGUAGCUACUGAUCCCAUACUACGGCGCAGAGAGCGAGAAUGAAAGGGGGAGGUGGGACAUCAGGUGUCACAGCUCCACAGCCCCAGAUGAGGCUGCAUCACCACGACAACCGAGGGUGCCAUCAGCUCUCUGUGCCCCACCAGCCAAGCACCUGACCAUCCGCCCAGCCAGCUAUCUUGCAAUCUACCAAUCCAUCCCUCCAUCCACCCCGGCGAAGCGAGGCCAGCACCGGUCGGAACUGGCAACCUGCAGGAGUCAUCAGGCUGCCACAGAUGAAGCGAAGAUAGCAGCGAGAUGAAGAGGCAGAGCUGACUCUAUACCCCUGGGGGGAGGGGGGGUGGCAGCGAGGUGGAACCACUUGCCUGCCUCCCAGUGGAGAGACACUUCCACCAUCAGAGCGCCAUCUGCAGACUCGGUGGGGCGGGACAGCUGGUGUUGUGAAUCAGGCCGCCGUAGUCCAGGGACCGGCUACUUCCCAACACCAGGGUCUAACCCUCGCCCCUCGCACCCCAUUAAUCUCUCACUUUCUCCUUCUAUACAUCAUCCAAAGUCACUGCUGCUUUCUUUUCCACAUUUGUAAAUCAAGUAGAUUUCUUCUUAUUUUAACUUUUAUUUUAUUUAUACCCAUCUUAGAAUUGUAAACGCUCAAUCUGGGUAGCAAAGUAAAUAUGUCCAAAGUAAAUAAAUACAUAUGUAUUUCAAAACUUGUGGGUGUCUAAGUGCUUAUAACUGAUAAAUUUUUAAAAAAAAUCACACUUUGUGCUUUUUGUACAAACCAAUUCUCGGCUUACUUUUAUUUGUAGUGACGUAUUUUGAGGAAUUGUGGCAAUAAAUAAUCAUAAAAAA